UUCUAUAGGUCCAUUGUAUAGUGAUGAAUUAAGCUUGACCCUUCAUAAUUUCACCGUGUUUGCAUGCUAAGUUGGAGAGUCUUGCUGAUAAGAGUAUGCCCAUACUCCCCUCAAAAUUGUUCGUGGAUACGUUAUAAGUUGCCUCAUUCUAAACGGAGAACCCUCUGGGGUAUUUAAUUUUUCCAAUAUGAGUUUUCUUCUCUGUAAGAGAUAAUUUAUGUUCUUGAAUGAGGAUUAUCUCAAGUCGAAGGUGGGAUUCGUGAAAGAAGUCCCUAACUUCUCGUUACUUACGUACCCCAGUUAGAUUACGUCCAAAGCCCUAGAUGUUAAGCGACGCUAUGACGAGGUGAUUAGUAUGUUGGGUGUCUGUUUGUGGGGUUGCGGACUCCCUUGUGAAGGCUUCGUUUCUCCGUGUUGGAGCGAUAGUUGUAUUAGAGAACAUAUCUUUUGGCAGCAUGGAUGUGUUAAGGCCCAAGAAGGUGGAGAGUUCGGUUGUGUGCAAGCCCCAUGCCUGUGCUUGGUGAGUCGUAGGAUAAUGUGGGAUCGAGCAUUUUUAAACAAUUUGGUUGAAGGACUAGUAGCGGCUGCACUAGGAGAUCAAGCCACUAUAUUCCAACAUAUAUUCAAUCUCUUUCUUCGCCAUCUAGUCGUGGCAGGAGAAUCGAUUGAGUUACGGCUUUGACAUUUUUUUUUAUGAACUCAAUAUACGAACUCGAGGACCCGAGAUCUUAGUUAAAUACGUAUCGGCAUCAUCCACAAACAGAAUCUCGUUGAAGACAUUGAAGGUAGCUCUCAAAAACUCUUGCAUUCUUAAGAAAGGAGGUAGUUCCCAAAUCUAGGCCCAUAUUCUGAUCUUAAGAUUCAAUUUCUUGAUAUGAUGAUUAGUAUUGAAAUAGGGAGACCAACUGUAAAAUGUUAUAUUACCUCCUUCCAAUGUAAAUCCCUGUUCCGAGAGUAUGUGAAGUCUGUCCUCUUCUUGUAAAAAUUGUAUUUCAAAAUAAUUGUUGAAGCGGAUUGUAAGUUGCUGGAAGGAUCUAUAUAGACUAGCUCUGGCCCAAAUAGAUAAUUGUCUUGCUCCCAAUGUGCGGGAUGUAAUGUGUCCAAGGACCAUAUAGUUUGCAAGUUUGACCAUUUUGUAUUUGUAGGAGUGAAAGCUAUCUAGAGAUAAUGAGAUCCUAAGAGGGAGUGAUCGACCCUGAGUGUCUUGUAUUUUAUCCAGUUCAGUUUGUGACUCCAUGUGUGAGUUGGAUAUGAUUGGGUGAGUUUUCUAGGUCUCUUCGAGUUUUGGAGGUAGGAUCUUUGGUUAUCGAGGUUCCACUUGUUUUAUGGGAUAUGUUUUCAUGUGCUCUUGGAGAUAGCAGACUUGCAAAAAUCUGUAAAGGUCUAGUGAGCUCAAUCUGUAAAGGUCUAGUUAGCAAAUUUGGUUUCCUGAAUGCAUUCUUUUGCUACGCGCUAGUACCAGUAUAGUGAAGUGUAUCCUUAGCCAAAUAUUUUACACCCAUUUUGAGCCGUUUCUAACCAAGUGGACCUAAAUAUGGUAGCCGGUCGGGCCUAAGCACCUUUGAAAGGUAAUUUUGUUGCAAUUCAAACAAUAGCAGGGCCAGCAGCUAGAGCAGAGGAAGGAAUUACACAAGAAAACUCGUUAGCAAACCAGGAAUCUAAUAGAGCUAGAAGAGUACUUCACAGAGCUAGUCUGUAAAGGUCUAGUUAGCAAUACUCUCGCCCAUUGACCGUGCCCACCAAACGGUCACUGCGCAUUCAUACUCCGCGCUCUGCUACCUGGCUGACUCAUACGCCAACAUCUCCUUGGAGUGCUUGGCACUGCAAUCCGCUAAAACCACACGCGACCUUGUGGAAACUUGUGUUUGGCUAGCCAGAAACUCUCAUAAAUUGAUUCACAUACUAUAAAGUCCUCAAAGAAGAUAGAGUGAAUCAAAUAAUGCUGUACAUAAGGAUAAAAAAAACAUGCAAGAAAAACACAUGUACUACACAUAACUCUAGAGCCCUUGUGAAUGCUGCAGUUAUAAAAACUUCAAUGUUCUUAUGACCUGUUUGAAUGCAACAAGAAUUCGUAUGCUUCUAAUGAAUCAUACGGGCAUGAAUACCUAAGAUAAAUCUUGACACAGAAGAAUAUUUUACCCAAUAAGAAAAAGCAUUCAGUAUACAUGUAUAAGGUAACGCCUCCAUACCUCCAUGUUUGAUGGAACUAACUGGUCCAUCACCGCCUAACGCAUAGUGGGCAGCAUCAGCUUCUCAAUUCAGAUGAAGGUUCAAUGAAGCGCUCUUCACCCUUGCAUAAAAACAUGAAAAUCCAUGCAUAAAAACUCUUCGUCUGCUUCCAGCACCCAGUUGAUCAAGUUCUCCAAUCAAAACAAUCCCACCUGAUCAACCACAUAAUCAAAAAUAAAUUAGCCUAAAAUACGUAGAUAAAUGUUCUUGCUAAAAAAACUAUGAAGGCGACGUAGUAAGUACAGAACAGAGGAUAUGUCAAGUGAGCAAAAAGCACGUGCAUCACGAAAUGCUUUCCUCCAUAGAAUGAGACUACCUUUUAUAACAACAUAUUUUCAUGAUGUUCUUGUAAACACUCAUUUCGAGCUGUACCAGUAUUCUUCAGAACCAUUCUAAUCAACGUAUAAAAGAACAAGAAUCCCUCCGUAUUUGCCAUCGGUAACACUACAGAGGUUUCAUCCAACUCUCGGAUGAGGGCCGGCCACCAAUCAGUGUAGAUUCCAGCAAUGGCGUGGCCGGAUCUCAAGCAGCGACAGCCUUGGCUUCUGCAAAGCUUGUACCGCUCACCCUCACCAGAAGUUGUAGAAACUACUUCUGUGGGUAAUUUUUGGUUGCUUGAGCAGUAUCGUUUGUGGGUUGUCGUCGUCUGGAAAUGUUUGCAGUCUAGGCUCGGCUAAGACAAUUCGUGGCUCUUUCACUUCCUACUGCUCUUGAGGUGUGUUUGUGUUCGUGGAUGUGAAACAAUUGGUGGGGAUUUUGAGGCGGUACGCUAGAAGUUAGAGCUCUUGCGACGCAUGAGCGUUAAUUUUUAGGUCAAUACUUGUGGUUAUCUGUUGCAAAUAGCACUGAACAUGAUAGAUCGACGACUGUGAUGCUACUUGGGAGCCAUAGCAGCGGAGGUGGCGAUAACAUCAUUCUUUGUUUUGUAGUCGAAGCAGGGUUGAUACUACACCCUCAUCGCCAUGCAAGGUUGAGUUAAGUCCUCCAUGUUGAGCAAGCAAAAAUCGUGAUGAGGAAUUACUUGACAAACUUUUAAAUUCUGAAUUUAUACUGUACGCAUCGUUGUACCUGAACAGAGUCUUGAGCAGGUUGUCAACCAGUUUGGUUCUAGGUAGGUGCAUAGACAUGGAGGAUUUCAAUUAUGAUUUCGUACUAUACCGAGUUCAUAUAUAAUACGAUACAGAAUCUACAUACAGUUUAUCAUAUAUGUAGUAGAAUAUUUACCAUGUACCAUAUAUAAUGCGAUACAGAAUCGUUAUACAGUUUACCAUGUUUGUCGUAGAACUUUUACCAUAUACCAUAUAUUUUGUAGAGUAUUUUCUUUGAAUUUUUUUGUAUUGUUUACUUCAUUCAUUGUAAUUUGAUGCAACUUUGCAUUACAAUGCAUUGAUAAUUACAUGCACUUUUAGAAACAA